CACCCGCAUGGUCGCACUCGCACCGCGUCGGCUCCCUCUCCUGCAUCACGCCAUGCCGCCUCACCACAGCGUGCUUGCUGCACCGCUUUCUCUCCCUGUCCCGCAUCACGACGCUCCGCCGCCCUCACCGCAUCGCUCUCGCCGUGCCGCAUCCUCUCCUUCUCCUGGAUCGCGCCCGUCCAGCCGUCCCAGCUGCAUCGCGCUCCCUCUCAAGGGCUUUCCCCUCCCCUCCCCUCCCCCGCCCGAUUCCCCUACCUCCACGACGGUUUCUCGCCUGAUCGCUCUGCUCCCUCUUCGUGACCCUAGCCUUCGUGCGCGCAAAAUCAGGAAAACGGCAUAGACACCUCAACUGCUCCUUGAUGGCUACCGUGAUUGACGCAUUUAAAUCUGAGUGCUAUGCCCAUCACAGGGAUUAUUGGACGCAAACGGCCUCAGCUAAUUCAUCCUCCAGCGAGGCAGCGACGGUGUUGCAUUGCACACACCAGCGACGGUGUUUCCUAUCAUCCUGGCCUGCACUAUUUUUUUCUGUUCCCAAUUGGAUCAGCUAUGGUAUGAUUCGGAAGAGAUUCAGUUUCUUCUUCAGAGGCAUUGAUUUCUAGAAAUUCCAGGCUGUACCCCUCAAAUUAGCUUAUUUCUUAUACUACAAUAUUAUUUAUUUCUAUCAAAUAAUAUAUUACCACUCUUGAAAUAAUUGUGCAACUGAUCCGUACUUAGUUUGAAGCAGAGCACAGUAAACAGUGGCCGUUACACGGCACAUACUACUCAACUUUCAUGAUCACAUCAGAAGUGUUAAAAGUGCAGGUCAUCACAGAAGCUCACAAAGGAGUGCCUCAAAGUAAAGAGUUCUCUCAAUGUAGGGGAAUUCCGUAGGAGUGCCGGAGUUGUCGGCACUCCCUCCACUGGAGUCCUGGAGGAAUGCCGGAUACUUUAUUCAAUAAAAUUCCGAUUCCUCCGACGCUCCGGUGUACUUCGAAAUAGUUGCCGAGGUUCCUCCAGC